rnacentral:lncRNA from 1 species
AUAUCAGUUAUACCAUUUUGGGACUUAUAUAUGUACAGUGGAUUACCUGAGUCUAGCUACUAUACUCUUAUGAGUAUAGACCACUUUGUACUCAUAAAUUUCCGGCCGUUAGAUUUGUCCCUUUAACUAUUUUCACCUAUUGAAUCAUAUUAUUCAACCAACUACUCGCUCAACCCUAGAUGACCACUACCAUCCUAAUUGGGGACCACUGUCAUCCUAACCACACAUCCCUUCAUCAAACGGCCGAAAACUUAUGAGUACAGGGAGCUCUGUACUCAUAAGAGUAUAGUAGUCCUAGCAUGGAUUACCUUUGGUUUUAGCUGUUUGCUUUAGCUCUGGUACUUGGUUGUGGUGGUGCUUGUUCUAGUCAUAGGUUCUUCUUUCGCUUCGUGUGUACACGACUUCCUGCGUAUGCGACAGGUCUACUAGCAAGCCCAAGUUCAGUUGCAACUCAGGAUGUGACAACUAAUCUUAUUUCUCUAGGAGAGGAUGGAUAUCUUGGUAUUAAUAAAUUAAGAUAAUUAUAAAAUUCUUAAUCUGACCAUCUUUUUUUCCUCUCCAGCUCCAUUACCUAGUUUUCUUUACUCUCUAAUCUCAUUUCUCUCUUUCUCUCUCUCUCUCUCACUUCAUUCUUUCUCUAAACCUAAGCUCUCUUUUUUAUCCCUCUAACCCUAUUUCUCAGGCUCAUCUACUAAUUUCGAUUCGAUCUCUUUCCUUAUUUUUCUAAUUGUACUCCCUUUUUGUAA